AGCUUUUCAGUAUCAUAGCCAAUGAGGUUUAUCCCAGGAGCAAAUUGCUAAUUGAAAACUUUUCCCAAUACCCUGCCAUGACGACUGGAAAUAUAAUCAGCACUGGCAAUUUUUAACAGUCUCUAUGGAAA
rnacentral:snRNA from 1 species